rnacentral:lncRNA from 1 species
GAAGGAUUUUGAAACUUUGUAACUCAGAGGGGGCUUCUGAAAACACGCUCGAUUUCUUCCGCGAGUUUUCAGGCGGAGGAAAAAAGCGACCGGCGCCGUCGCCUGUAGCCACGCCCACUCGCAUGACAUCCCCCGCAGGCCACGCCCCGCGCACCUGUCCGCCAGGUUCUGCGGGAGAGAGGGGAGCUGGGUGAGUUUGUUCCGCGGCCUUUUGCGAUUAUUAUUUUAUUUUUCCUUUAUUUUAAUGUAGAUAAAACUGAACUCAAUAAAUUACGUAGUCUAAACCGCGUUUUUUUAACGUAUGGCUUUUCUUAUUUUAACAAACCAACUGUGUUGCACAGAUAACGUGUAUUACUUUUACAUCGAAGAAAAGCUCUAUUGUAGCAGUAAAAACUGCGCUGUAUUGAGAGUAAUGCCCUUUUUCCGUACGUUUAUUUAUCUUUCUUUAUCAAACAAUCCGUGAACUUUGCUCACUAAAUCAAGCGUUGAUUUCUCCAAAAAGAAAGUAGGCUACCUAUAUUGUAAAGAUUGUUUUCAUUAUUUUCCAGAGCAAGAUGUGAUAAAGUUCUUAUAUUCAUGGUAACAUUUCGCUUGCAACGAAUACUUAUUAGUUUAGUGUCUUCGAGCAGGACUCGAUUCGCACUUAAUAAUGGGAGUAUAAACUUUGGUGUGUUCGGGCAGGACAAGCUUGGCUCAGCUGCUGGAAUCAUCAAUGAAACGAAGUUCCAGUCUUCAUUCUGGUCGCUGCCCCGACAGAUCCAUUGGAGAAACAGUAACGUGUCGUAUGUUUCUGUGCUUUUCCGUGUACUGUAGUUGCGUGCAAUUAUUUUUGUACACUGUUUAUUUGUAAAAGCUUUUAGCGUGAAUGUAUCCGUGCUUUGACACUUUGUAAUUUAAAUCCAUGUUACUUUUCACUUCAGAUCCUGUGCAUCUAUCGUAUGUAAUGGAAUGCGUUGUUUAAUGUUGCAUGCUAAUGUUUUUGUACUCUGCUUACUUGUAAAAAGUCUUUAGUGUUAAUGUAGCCUUGCUUUGACGCAUUGUAAUCUAAAAGGUGUUAAUUUUCAUUUCGAAUCUGUGCAUCGCUCGUACUGGAAUGCUUUGUUUUGUAUGCAACUUUCGCUCAAUAAAUUGUUGAUUGGAUU